rnacentral:rRNA from 1 species
CGCGUAGGCGGCUUUGCAAGUCAGAUGUGAAAGCCCCGGGCUUAACUCGGGAACUGCAUCUGAAACUGCUUAGCUUGAGUCCUGGAGGGGGUAGUGGAAUUCCCAGUGUAGCGGUGAAAUGCGUAGAUAUUGGGAGGAACACCUGCGGCGAAGGCGGCUACCUGGACAGUGACUGACGCUGAGGCGCGAAAGCUAGGGGAGCGAACGGGAUUAGAUACCCCGGUAGUCCUAGCCGUAAACGAUGGGCACUUGGUGUUGGGGGUAUUGAGUCCCUCGGUGCCGGAGUUAACACGUUAAGUGCCCCGCCUGGGGAGUACGGUCGCAAGACUGAA